rfam:Triticum aestivum genome assembly, contig: Triticum_aestivum_CS42_TGACv1_scaffold_112087_2AS
AAAACUAGCAAGUCCUUUGGGUAUGAAACCCAUUUGGGCGAGAGUAGUACUAGGAUGGGUGACCUCCUAGGAAGUCCUCGUGAAACGGUUUCA